rnacentral:rRNA from 1 species
AGUGAACGCUGGCGGCAGGCCUAACACAUGCAAGUCGAACGGCAGCACAGUAAGAGCUUGCUCUUAUGGGUGGCGAGUGGCGGACGGGUGAGGAAUACAUCGGAAUCUACUCUGUCGUGGGGGAUAACGUAGGGAAACUUACGCUAAUACCGCAUACGACCUACGGGUGAAAGCAGGGGAUCUUCGGACCUUGCGCGAUU